CCUACGGGCGGCAUCAGUGAGGAAUAUUGGUCAAUGGACGCAAGUCUGAACCAGCCAUGCCGCGUGCAGGAAGACGGCUCUAUGAGUUGUACACUGCUUUUGUACGAGGGUAAACGCAGAUACGCGUAUCUGUCUGAAAGUAUCGUACGAAUAAGGAUCGGCUAACUCCGUGCCAGCAGCCGCGGUAAUACGGAGGAUUCAAGCUUUAUCCGGAUUUAUUGGGUUUAAAGGGUGCGUAGGCGGUCGGAUAAGUUAGAGGUGAAAUCCCGAGGCUCAACUUCGGAAUUGCCUCUGAUACUGUUCGGCUAGAGAGUAGUUGCGGUAGGCGGAAUGUAUGGUGUAGCGGUGAAAUGCUUAGAGAGCAUACAGAACACCGAUUGCGAAGGCAGCUUACCAAGCUACUUCUGACGUUGAGGCACGAAAGCGUGGGGAGCAAACAGGAUUAGAUACCCUUGUAGUC
rnacentral:rRNA from 1 species